CAGCCAUCAUUUAAAGAAAGCGUAACAGCUCACCAUUCGACCCCGGCUUGCCGGGAGGGCAAAGUGCGCCGAAAAUAUACCGAGGCUCAAGCAAACUACCGAAGACGAAGAUUUUGUAUUUUACAAUUUAGUAGGGGAGCGUUCUCAAGGCAGUGAAGCUUUGCCGUGAGGCAGGGUGGAGCGUUGAGAAGUGAGAAUGCUGGCAUGAGUAGCGUGAUCCCGGUGAGAAACCGGGAUGCCGAAAGCCCAAGGUUUCCUCAGCAACGUUAGUCGGCUGAGGGUUAAGCGACCCUUAGGUGAGCCCUCCUAUUUGGAGGGGUAGCCGAUGGAUAGCCGGUUAAUAUUCCGGCCUUUUCAUCAAUUCGUUAUUAGAUGGGUGGUGACGUAUUUUGAUAGAUCUGGUGUUCCAGUGGAAUUGGAGCGCUUGGGAAGUAAGUUAGAGGUGGUUGGCAAAUCCGCCACCUUGAUGCCCUUAACGGGCGCAAACGAACUUCAUGAUGACCCCGAGCUUUGCAAGGGGGAACAGAUCGAGUUAGGAUACCAAGAAAAGCCUCGCAUUGAGAAUUGAUGAAAUCCGUACCGCAAACCGACACAGGUGGGCAGGUCGAGUAGACCAAGGCAAUCGAGUAAAAGAGGAUCAAGGAACUCAGCAAAAAAGCUGGGCGUAACUUCGGGAGAUGCCCUGCCACUUUUAGUGGCCGCAGCAAACGAAUGUUCGGCGACUGUUUACCAAAAACACAGGUCCCUGCAAACCCGUAAGGGGAAGUAUAGGGGCUGAUGUCUGUCCAGUGCCGGAAGGUUAAGGGGAUUUCUUGGAUUUCUUCGGAAAUCUAUGGGAUGAACUGAAGCCCCGGUGAACGACGGCAGUAACUCUAACUGUCCAAAGGUAGCGAAGUCCAUUGUCGGGUAAGUUCCGACCAGUAUGAAAGACUCAACGACCGAACAACUGUCUCCGAUCCUUUACUCGGCGAAAUUGAAAUACCGGUCAAUAUGCCGGUUAGUUAUUGUUGGACAAAAAGACCCCGUGGAGCUUCACUAGAGCUUAACAUUGAGGAUGGCCUGAUGUUUGUUGAGAAUAGGUGGGAGGACUUCGGUCCGUCAGUGAAAUACCACUCUUCAUCAUUCCUGAAUCUAACCCAUCCUGUCUGGAAACGGCAGGGGGGACAGUGUUUGGUGGCUAGUUUGACUGGGGCAGUCGCCUGCUAAAAAGUAACGCGGGCGCACAAAGGUUGGCUAGGCUCGGACAGAAAUCGAGCUGAUAGUGCAAGGGCAUAAGCCAGCUUAACUGCAAGACCGUUGGGUCGAGCCUGUCAAACUUUAUUUUCUUCCUUUCUUUGAUUGGAAGGUUUUAAAGGGAGACAGCUGAAGUUCUACUUCGGAGAUACGAAAGUAGGUCCUAGUGAUCUUCCUUCGCCAUAUGGUAUGGCAAGGAACUUAUCCGAUAAAAGUUACCCCGGGGAUAACAGNNGUUGGUCUGUUCGCCCAUUAAAGCGCCGCGUUAGCUGGGUUCAGAACGUUUCAAGACAGUUCGGACUCUAUCCACAAUAACCGUUCGAUUUCUGAGGGAAUCCGACCACAGUACGAGAGGACCUGGUUGGGGAAACCUCUGGUGUGCCGGUUGUCCUGCCAAGGGCAUUGCCGGGUAGCUAUGUUUCCAACGGAUAACUGCUGAAAGCAUCUAAAGCGGGAAGCCGUCCCCAAGAUUAGAAAUCGCAUCUCACCUUCGGGUGAGAGAUAGACCCCCAGGAGACUACUGGGUAUGGGUGGCAGGUGUAAGACUAGCAAUAGUUUUAGCCGAACCAUUCCUAAUGGUCGAGUAAAAACAAAAU
rnacentral:rRNA from 1 species